rfam:Cathartes aura contig141603, whole genome shotgun sequence.
GUCAGCAGCCAGCAUGGGAAUAAAAGGAUCUCAUCCGAUCUCUGGAGCUAAGUAAGGUCAGGUCCGCUCAGUACUUGGAUAGGAGCCUGGUUGGGAACACCAGGUGCUGUAGGCU